AUUGAACGCUGGCGGCAGGCCUAACACAUGCAAGUCGAACGAGUGGCGGACGGGUGAGUAAUGUCUGGGAAACUGCCUGAUGGAGGGGGAUAACUACUGGAAACGGUAGCUAAUACCGCAUACCAUCCGACGUGCCCUGAUGGGAUUAGCUAGUUGGGGGGGUAACGGCUCACCAAGGCGACGAUCCCUAGCUGGUCUAAGAGGAUGACCGGCCACACUGGAACGGGGACACGGUCCAGACUCGUACGGGAGGCAGCAGUGGGGAAUAUUGCACAAUGAGCGCAGGCCAGAUUCAGCCAUGCCGCUUGUAUGAAGAAGGCCUUCGGGUUGUAAAGUACUUUCAGCGGGGAGGCGUUACCCGCAGAAGAAGCACCGGCUAACUCCGUGCCAGCCGCCGCGGUAAUUC
rnacentral:rRNA from 1 species